rnacentral:rRNA from 1 species
UACGGGGGGGGCAAGCGUUGUUCGGAAUUACUGGGCGUAAAGGGUUCGUAGGUGGCCAACUAAGUCAGACGUGAAAUCCCUCAGCUUAACUGGGGAACUGCGUCUGAUACUGGAUGGCUUGAGUGCAGGAGAGGAACGCGGAAUUCCAGGUGUAGCGGUGAAAUGCGUAGAUAUCUGGAGGAACACCGGUGGCGAAGGCGGCAUCCUGGACCAAUAUUGACGCUGAGGAGCGAAAGCCAGGGGAGCAAACGGG